CACGACCAACACCUUCAAGGCAUGUUGCAGCAAAUCCGAUUCUGUCAGAUCAGACAACAACACAACAGGUUCCAUCAGUCGGGGCCGCAUCACAACCACCACUAUCUAGAAAGUGUAGUGGACGUGUGUCUACGCAACAUUGGAUUGUAGAUGGAAUAGGUAUGUUAUUGCCAUUCAUUUAUACAUUCUGUCUAUUUUACGCCGCAACUAACAAUAUGUUACCUCAAAGAAUACAUAACCUAUGCUUAAUGCUUCUCAUCACUUUACAUUCGUUAUCAAACCUCUUGGAUCCAUCCUCAUUUUACCAAUUUAGAAGAUAUUUUUCCUUCUAAAUUGUAGGAGAGAUUAAUUCUUUUAAGGUACUGAAGCUUGCCUGAUAACUCAUUUGAUUGUUACUUGAUGGUUUGACAUUCUGCCUAAGAACCCACCUAAUAAUCUGUUGCCUCAAAGAAUAGAGAACCACAUUGAUUUUUGUUUUUAUCUUUUAAGAUUCACAAGGAGCUAGCAAGAUACUUAAAGUAAAGAAAAGGGACGUGUUAAAUUUAUCUAAUGGAGAGCGUAUUGUGGUUGAUUUUGACGACACGGAUUCUCCCAUUGGUGAAGGACAAGGCGUUCUUGCAGGCUUUUGUGGAAUUUUAGAAACUGACUGCUCCAUUUUUUCAAUUCACUUUGAGAAAUGGUCGGAUUUACCUGUG
rnacentral:lncRNA from 1 species